rnacentral:rRNA from 1 species
UACGGAGGGAGCUAGCGUUAUUCGGAAUUACUGGGCGUAAAGCGCACGUAGGCGGCUUUGUAAGUUAGGGGUGAAAGCCUGGAGCUCAACUCCAGAAUUGCCUUUAAGACUGCAUCGCUAGAAUUGUGGAGAGGUAAGUGGAAUUCCGAGUGUAGAGGUGAAAUUCGUAGAUAUUCGGAAGAACACCAGUGGCGAAGGCGACUUACUGGACACAUAUUGACGCUGAGGUGCGAAAGCGUGGGGAGCAAACAGG